rnacentral:lncRNA from 1 species
GUAUUCCUAAUUCCUUAAUUAUCAAAUGUAAAUAUUCAAUAACAUUAUCUUUUGAACAAAAAAUAUGAACAACAAUAAGAAGACCAACAAUACAUUCAAAACAUUCAUCAAUAUUGAAAUUCAUUGAGAAAUCUAAUUAUAUUUUGUCUUUAUAUCAAAUAAUGGCAGCAAUAUAAGCUUGAAAAGAUAAUAAACAAAAUCAAAUUAGAAUGAUCUCAUUCUAUUUCUUCAAAAUGAAAUUCCUUGAACUCUUGCAACAAGUUUGGAGAAGACAUCCGUCAAUCCAAUAAAGCGUUUAAAUCUGAAAAUUAACAAGUGAUACAAUUUAUUAGAUUGUAAAAUAAAAAUAUUCAAAACUCUAAUUAGUGCUCGAAGAUG